UACGAAGGGGGCUAGCGUUAUUCGGAAUUAUUGGGAGUAAAGGGCGCGUAGGCGGCCUGGCAAGUGGAUGGUGAAAUCCCUCGGCUUAACCGAGGAACUGCCAUCCAGACUGCUUGGCUUGAGACCGGGAGAGGUGAGUGGAAUUCCCAGUGUAGCGGUGAAAUGCGUAGAUAUUGGGAGGAACACCAGUGGCGAAGGCGGCUCACUGGACCGGUACUGACGCUGAGGCGCGAAAGCGUGGGGAGCAAACGGG
rnacentral:rRNA from 1 species